UGUGUGUGAAUAAUAGUAGACUAUCGUAACAUCAAAAAGACAACUUUACAGGAGGAGCGUUUGAAGUUGCAAAUUUGAACCACGACUUCGUUUUUCAGCCGAUUGUUAUGAAAUUUGGCAUGAGCAACAA